GGUGCAUGGAUUGGGAGGGUGCAGGGGGUCAGAUGCAGGGGAUGGGGAUGCAGGUGGGGGGGGUGCAUGGGCAGUAUACACUGUUGCCUUGGCUCCCUCCAACAGAAGGGGAAAGGUCAGAGCCUGGGCUUGCCCCUACCCUGCAGGGUGUGGGAAAUUCCCUAUGCGCCUUCUGCAAACCCAUCCCGGGACUCCCAGGCACAGAAGCCUGUUGGUGGGGAGCUGCCUAGCCCGGGCCUUUGUUCCUUGGCUGGGUGGCUAGAGCGUGGCUGCUGCACAUGGACUCAGUACGCAUGGUGACUCCAAGUUCAAAUAUUUCAGCACGAGCGAAAGGUGGAAAAACCACUUGGCCCAAUUCAUGGCUAUUGUGAGAAAGUUUGCGAAUGUGGCGAAUUGAGACAGAGCUGCAGAAUUUGCAAAGAACAAGCGAGUGGGCCAACCGAGAUCUCAGGCGGGGAGCCUUUUUGCUGAAUGCAUGGAAAGAAGAAGGAGAGGCCCAGAACGGACUGACUUUGGCUAAACAUCUGUGAGUGUUAGACUCAGACUCUGAGGAUGAAGGUACUGAUAUUGCUGCAUUGCCAAGUACAUCAGAAGGAAGCUGGAUCCAGGUCAGCCAAAGACAAAGAGCAGGAAGUAUUAUGUUGUUUUCAAUCAUAAAUGCUUUUGUAACAAAAACAACUCCAGAACUUAAACAAAAGAGAGACUGGAAAAUUGCUAAUUUUUUUUAAAGCUGUAAUAUUCCCUUUUCUGUUAUUGAGCAUCCAACUUUUCUAGCAAUGAGCAGCUGCCUAUGGCCAGGCAACCAAGACCCAGUCAAAAGCAGGUAGCAGGUAAACAGUGAAAUGAAGUUACUGAUGGCUUGAGGGGCGGAAGCAUGCAACACAUUAAAUGGAAAAGCAGUUACAUUAUGGCUGGCGUAAUGUGCACAACCAGUGAUUGCUAACUGUAUGCAAACAGGGAAGACUGUACUUCGUGCAUCAGUGGUUGAUACUGGAUGGAAUGAGAAGACAGGACUGGACAGGACAGUGCUAUGCUACCCUGGCAAGAGAAGCCAAGGCAUUAGCAAAUGAACUGUACGGUUGCAUUGUGAAGAGCUACAUGACAGAAAACAAGAGAAAGAUGCAAAGUCUGACGAGUGAUUUGGAAGAAGGUGACGGCACUUGAGUAAUGUAUGGAUGUGCAUCAUAUUGACUCAAUCUACUUGGACAAGAACGUAAACCAAGUGCUUUGAUGAAAUGUUGUAGAUUGCCAAAAGUAUUUUGGCAAUUGUGUGCAGCCUGGAACUUGGCUAAAAGAAUGCCAAAUCCCCAGUGACACGAUGGAACAAUCAGAUAACAUGCCUGAAAACGUAUGUUAAAGUCGGCCAUAUUAUGUCAGAAUGAUUUAGUUGGGGAUUGGUCCUGCUUUGAGCAGGGGGUUGGAAUAGAUGACCUCCUGAGGUCCCCCAACCCUGGUAUUCUAUGAUUCUAGGACAGUGAGAAAUUGUGAGGCAGAAUUUGAAGAUAGAGCAAUCAGUAUAAUUAAUACUCAAGGAAUUUUCCAAGAAGCAAAGAACCUGAUCGCUCAGUUGAAACCAGUUGCUGUGGCACUUGACUCACUUCAAAAGGACACAUAUCAACAGUUGCUGUUACAGAUGAAGUAUGGUUGGAUCUGCAGAUAAAUGAAGAUCUUGCACCGCAUAAAGCAAAAGUACAAAAGAGAGGUCAUGAGGCAAUUACUCCUGUACACAUGUUGAUCAACCAUACGCAGGAAAAAAAAUUGUCAGCUGAACAAGAAUAUAUUUCAAGGCAGUGGGUGCUUGGCAAAAAUCCAGAUGUUGUGCCAUAUUUACUUGCCUUUAAAGCAGAAGAAUCUCUUGAUUCAAAAAUCUGCGUUUUUCAUCCGCUAUGAAGAAAAAGGAUGGAAAAAUCUGAAGGCUGCUGAUAGUCCAUCUAACUUCAUAGAACUGGUGGUGCAAUUGCAUCAGUGCCCAGAAAGUGCAGGAAGCAUAGAAUGAAUUUGAAACUUUGGAUACAUCCAUUCAUAACUGAAGAAUGGGCUCGGUCUAUCCGCUGCGUCAGAGUUGGUCUCCUGCUGCAGAAUGCUGCAUGGCCAAAUGGACCCAGACCGGCAGCCUGUAACUCUGCAUGCUUCUGAUUGCAUAAUGUGUCAAGCUAGCACCUCUGCAUUACUGUCGCUUUCUUAUCAUCAAGUGUUUUUAAUUAUUUGUAUAAUCAAAACCGAAAUGAGUCAUGAUCUGUAUGAUUUCCUUGAGGAAAACACCAAACCAAAUCAGACACAGGCAUUCUGACAUUCCUAAUCACAUACAUUCGUAUUAUGCCCUGUGUAGUUUUACUUUUUAUUUGUACAACCCUAAAUUAAUCACUGAAUCUACUGCCAUAUGGAACCAUAAUUUGAAUAUGUAAAUAAACCAAGUAUAAAGUGGUA